UAAAAACGCUUAUAGAACAAUAACAUCGUAAUUGGUCAGGACGGGAACGUAGCAGCCACGUCGAAAAGUGUUGUGUCUAUAAGUACUUUUUUUUUA
rnacentral:SRP_RNA from 1 species